rnacentral:lncRNA from 1 species
AAGCCCUGCCCCUCUUUGCCUCUUACCUUGAAGCCUGUUCCUGCAGUGGCUCUGGUGGUGACAGAAGGGAAAGAAAAUUGGAGACCGUGUCCAUUUUGAGAACAUCUCCCAGAAUAAUUGCGCUGUGACACAUGGAGAGCGCAAAUGAAAAACAGGAAGCCAAGCUGCAAGGGCUCGUUUGGAACUGGCAAACUGCAACAGAAGCUUCAGCCAGCACAUCCGCCGAGGGUAGCCAUUCCCCACACCACUUCCGUUCAGGUCUGGUUCCCAGCCGAGGCUGCGAUUGGUCUGCUCUGUCUCCUGCGGUGGUGGGGUGACCUUCCUCAACAGAUCCCAAGACCAAGUUCAGUGCAUUUACUGUGUGCUCCACGUGGCAAAUGCUGGAAGCCAGCAGCCUCUGACCAUUCUCCCACUGCUGCGGGCCGCAGAGCCAGGGCUCCAUUCGAAGCCUGCCAACAGCAUUUAUUUUGGAGACUUUGUUGGCAGUUUAGAUUUGGGUCAGAAGUGGCUUCAAGAAGCCUAAUUGAUUCUCUAAAGAAUGAUGUGUACUGGAGAAGAAAAAAGAAACAGCACGUGCAUAUUCUUCAGAGAAAUGCACAUGGGCAGAGAGUGGGAAAUAAAAGAAGCCAAGAACCCAAACCGAAGCAGGAUCUAAGGGAGGGAGAUGUGAACUUGAGCUCCAGAGCCAGAGCCAGGCCAGGAAGCAGGCUUGGCCUGUGCGAGGUUAGCUGUCUGAAUUGAAGACUAAAGCCCUGAAGGCUGAUGGGAUGGUGACUCUGUGACCUUUCAUUAGGAAUCUGACCAACUCUGUACAUUUCAACUGCUUGCUUCCAUGUGGUGGAUGUGAUCUUGCUUCCCAAGGCUCAAACCAUGCACAGGCUUCCUCCAUGCUGACAAAGGAUGCAGGCAACAGUGUCAGUGGACUUCAGUGACAGUCAGCAAGUGCACCCGCAUGCUCCACACUGAGAAGCUGCUGUCAGAUGCUGAGGACAUGGCUCAUCCCCGUGGGGAACUCAGUCUUUUGGCUUAUGCUUCCAUCAGCCAUUCAAAGCACCAAGAGUUUGGAAGCAGCAUGAGCUUGGUUUCUGUGCCUGGCAGUGACCUCCAGACCUCAAGAGGUGGACAUAGGAGAAAGAAGGAGGCGAGCCUCCAAGGCACACCCAGGGUCACACCUACACGAUAUAUGUUGGAAUAAAUGUGUUCAAAGAGAGGGGAAGUAUUGUGAGGGGGAUUAAUGGCCAUGUGUCUUUUACUGUAAUUAAUUAAAAAAAAUUUAAACAUUCACUGUAUAUUUUGAUCAGCCCUUGUGUCUUUCUCAUUCUCUGUCUAGAAAUUAGGACUUGCCAUCUCAAAAGUAGGAAUGUGUUAUGAGGAAGC